AGGACGAACGCUGGCGGCGUGCUUAACACAUGCAAGUCGAGCGGAAAGGCCCUUCGGGGUACUCGAGCGGCGAACGGGUGAGUAACACGUGAGUAAUCUGCCCCUAGCUCUGGGAUAGCUCCGGGAAACCGGGAUUAAUACCGGAUACGACCACCUUAGACAUCUUUUGUGGUGGAAAGAAUUUCGGCUAGGGAUGAGCUCGCGGCCUAUCAGCUUGUUGGUGGGGUAACGGCCUACCAAGGCGACGACGGGUAGCCGGCCUGAGAGGGCGACCGGCCACACUGGGACUGAGACACGGCCCAGACUCCUACGGGAGGCAGCAGUGGGGAAUAUUGCGCAAUGGGCGAAAGCCUGACGCAGCGACGCCGCGUGGGGGAUGAAGGCCUUCGGGUUGUAAACCCCUUUCAGCAGGGACGAAGCGAAAGUGACGGUACCUGCAGAAGAAGCGCCGGCUAACUACGUGUCAGCAGCCGC
rnacentral:rRNA from 1 species